CCCUUAGAUGUUCUGGGCCGCACGCGCGCUACACUGACGAUGGCAACGAGUUUUUCCUUCGCCGAAAGGUGUGGGUAAUCUUUUGAAACAUCGUCGUGCUGGGGAUAGAUCAUUGCAAUUUUUGAUCUUGAACGAGGAAUUCCUAGUAAGCGCGAGUCAUCAGCUCGCGUUGAUUACGUCCCUGCCCUUUGUACACACCGCCCGUCGCUACUACCGAUUGAAUGGUUUAGUGAGGACUCCUGAUUGGCGCCGCCGCCCCGGCAACAGAGCAGCGGACUGCCGAAAAGUUGUUCAAACUUGAUCAUUUAGAGGAAGUAAAAGUCGUAACA
rnacentral:rRNA from 1 species